rnacentral:rRNA from 1 species
UACAGAGGGUGCAAGCGUUAAUCGGAAUUACUGGGCGUAAAGCGUGCGCAGGCGGUUUUGUAAGACAGGCGUGAAAUCCCCGGGCUCAACCUGGGAAUUGCGCUUGUGACUGCAAAGCUGGAGUGCGGCAGAGGGGGAUGGAAUUCCGCGUGUAGCAGUGAAAUGCGUAGAUAUGCGGAGGAACACCAAUGGCGAAGGCAAUCCCCUGGGCCUGUACUGACGCUCAUGCACGAAAGCGUGGGGAGCAAACAGG